rnacentral:rRNA from 1 species
GAUGAACGCUGGCGGCGUGCCUAAUACAUGCAAGUCGAGCGAACAGACGAGGAGCUUGCUCCUCUGACGUUAGCGGCGGACGGGUGAGUAACACGUGGAUAACCUACCUAUAAGACUGGGAUAACUUCGGGAAACCGGAGCUAAUACCGGAUAAUAUAUUGAACCGCAUGGUUCAAUAGUGAAAGACGGUUUUGCUGUCACUUAUAGACGGAUCCGCGCCGCAUUAGCUAGUUGGUAAGGUAACGGCUUACCAAGGCAACGAUGCGUAGCCGACCUGAGAGGGUGAUCGGCCACACUGGAACUGAGACACGGUCCAGACUCCUAAGGGAGGCAGCAGUAGGGAAUCUUCCGCAAUGGGCGAAAGCCUGACGGAGCAACGCCGAGUGAGUGAUGAAGGUCUUCGGAUCGUAAAACUCUGUUAUUAGGGAAGAACAAAUGUGUAAGUAACUAUGCACGUCUUGACGGUACCUAAUCAGAAAGCCACGGCUAACUACGUG